rnacentral:rRNA from 1 species
CAAUAGCGUAUAUUAAAGUUGUUGCAGUUAAAAAGCUCGUAGUUGAAUUUCGGGUCCCCGCGCUCGGCGCUUCAUUGUGCCGUCGUGGUGUCCCUCCUCGCCGUAAGGCGUCCUUUACUGUGAAAAAAUUAGAGUGUUCAAAGCAGGCAAUCGCUUGAAUACAUUAGCAUGGAAUAAUAAGAUAGGAUCUUGUCUAUUUUGUUGGUUGCGGACGACGAUAAUGAUUAAUAGGGAUAGUUGGGGGUGUCCGUAUUGAGCUGUCAGAGGUGAAAUUCUUGGAUUUGCUCAAGACGAACUACUGCGAAAGCAUUCACCAAGGAUGUUUUCAUUAA